rnacentral:rRNA from 1 species
UUCCGGUUGAUCCUGCCGGAGGUUACUGCUAUCGGUGUCCGACUAAGCCAUGCGAGUCAAAUGUUCUUCGUGAACAUGGCAGACUGCUCAGUAACACGUGGAUAACCUACCCUAAGGACAGGAAUAACCCCGGGAAACUGGGGAUAAUACCUGAUAAAUUAGAGAUGCUGGAAUGCCCUCUAAUUCAAAGGUCCGCCGCCUUAGGAUGGAUCUGCGGCUCAUCAGGUAGUAGUGGGUGGAACGUACCUACUAGCCUACGACGAGUACGGGUUGUGAGAGCAAGAGCCCGGAGAUGGAUUCUGAGACACGAAUCCAGGCCCUACGGGGUGCAGCAGGCGCGAAUCCUUUACAAUGCAGGCAACUGCGAUAAGGGGACACCGAGUGCCAGUGAAUUUCAUUGGCUGUCUUAAUGUUUAAAACGCAUUCAAUAGCAAGGGCUGGGCAAGACCGGUGCCAGCCGCCGCGGUAAUACCGGCAGCCCGAGUGGUAACCACUAUUAUUGGGUCUAAAGGGUCCGUAGCCGGACCAAUCAGUCUUCUGGGAAAUCUGGCAGCUCAACUGUCAGCCGUCUAGGGGAUACUGUUGGUCUUGGGACCGGAAGAGGUAAGAGGUACUUUAGGGGUAGGAGUGAAAUCUUGUAAUCCUUAAGGGACCACCAAUGGCGAAGGCAUCUUACCAGAACGGGUCCGACGGUGAGGGACGAAAGCUAGGGGCGCAAACCGGAUUAGAUACCCGGGUAGUCCUAGCCGUAAACGAUGUUCGCUAUGUGUCAGGGACGGCGUGACCGUUCCUGGUGCCGAAGGGAAGCUGUGAAGCGAACCACCUGGGAAGUACGGCCGCAAGGCUGAAACCUAAAGGAAUUGGCGGGGGAGCACUACAACGGGAGGAGCCUGCGGUUUAAUUGGAUUCAACGCCGGA